AGAUGAACCCAACAUCCCAGUACCAGGCCAGGCUGUCACCUUCGAGGCCAGAGACUUUCUACACGUCAAAGAGAAGUUUAAUAGUGACUGGUGGCUUGGGCGUCCGGUGAAAGAGGAUGGAGUGGUGGGGUUCAUACCCAGUCCAACCAACCUGGAGACCAUCCUGAUCAGGAGAGACGUCCAGGCCAGGAAAGCUGCCAAAGCUCUGGCCAGCAAAGCAGCAGUUUCUCAAGACACGAAUAAAAAGUACACUCCUCCUUCAACUGGUG